CUAAAUUUUGAAAAGUGAGUUUUUCAUACUUUUUAAUUUAGUUUUGAUCAUGUACACUUCCAUUCUAUAUUAUGUUAUUCUGAAAAUCAACACCAGCGUACGGCUGUACGGAUUUUCACUUCUAUAAUCACUACAAUAAUUUAUUAUAUAGAACAAAUCUAUCUUAUAAUUACGGUGGCCCACAAGUGCAACGUCAAUCGUCAUUAAUAAAUCAGAUAUCAACUUAAAUUUCAUAACUUCAAAUUCAAAUUCCUUACCCCAAAUUCAAAUUCCUUACUUCAAAUUCAAAUUCCUCACUCCAAAUUCAAAUUUCUCACUCCAAAUUCAAAUUCCUCACUCCAAAAACAGAGUAGAGACAUACAGAGCUGUAACUGACCGUCGUAAACACUGCGGAAGCUUACGUUUUCAUGUACCCACUUUUUUUCAGGCGACCGGGAAAAAAAAUGAUCAACUGCGCGUGCUCGGCAAGUUUAAAGUGAGUCGUCAUCAGGUCGUCAUCCAAUCAGAUACAUGCAUUUAGUAACUUGCCGAGCAUGCGCACAAAAAUAGUGGGUACAUUAGUUACAACUCUGUAUGUCUCUCCUCUGUGCUCCAAAUUCAAAUUUCUCACUCCAAAUUCAUCAUUGGUCAGCGGUAACAAUCUCAAAUAAACUACAAUACUUAAUUUACACACCGUUAAUAGAACUGAUAAUUUUCAUAUAUUGUGCAUGAAAUAUUUAAAUGUUAAAAAUUUUCCGCGCUUGCAAACUAGUGCGACAUCGUACUAUCACUUGCUUGUAUUCCAUGUGUAGAUUUCGGUUUUCCGCGCUUGUAAAACUGCGACAACAAACUAUCGCUUGCUUGU